rnacentral:rRNA from 1 species
UACAGAGGGGGCAAGCGUUGUUCGGAAUUACUGGGCGUAAAGGGCGCGUAGGCGGCCUUCUAAGUCGAACGUGAAAUCCCCGGGCUCAACCCGGGAACUGCGUCCGAUACUGGAAGGCUUGAAUCCGGGAGAGGGAUGUGGAAUUCCAGGUGUAGCGGUGAAAUGCGUAGAUAUCUGGAGGAACACCGGUGGCGAAGGCGACAUCCUGGACCGAUACUGACGCUGAGGAGCGAAAGCCAGGGGAGCAAACGGG